ensembl:lncRNA
AGCUCAUUAUCACAUGGGUUAAUGAGCUGAUGAGUUGAAUCAGAUGUGUUUAAUUAGGGAGACAAAGAAAACGUGCAGUGUUGGGGGUACUCCAGGACAGGUUUGGGAACCACUGCGUUAAUGUAUCUGGAGCUGUCUGUGGUAUCUAUGUUUCUCUCUAGUUGACGUCAUCAUUGGGAGAAGUCCCUCCCAUUUGUGAUGCUGCCUUAUUAGAAUAAACACAGCCCUGAGUGAGAAGCAGCAGUCCGCCAUUACUGUUUUCUUGUUGUAGAUGCUUGUCAGUGUCAAAGAGCAAAGAGGCAUUAGAAGUGUUGUGUUUUAGGAUGCACCAAUGAACAUAGGAGUCUCCAUGGACCAGGGAUCCUCAAAUCCGGCCCACGAGAUCCACUUUCCUGCCGAGUUUAGCUCUAACCCUAAUUUAAACACACCUGAGCAUGCCAAUCAAUGUCUUCAGGUUCAUUAGAAAACUACAGGUAGGUGAGUUUGAUCAGGGUUGGAGAUAAACUCCGCAGCGCACUGGCCCUCCUGGACAAGAUUUGAGGAACCCUGCCAUAGACUCUCUCCAUCUGAACUGCUGAGGGCAUUGUGGUUAAGUUUAAUUUUCAAAGGACAGAUUUUACGCCAGACUGUCUAACAACUGAGGGUAAUUUCUAGGCUGGAUUUUUGCAAAAUGGAUUCCUAAACAGGGAUUGAUACCAAUGCUCUGUGCACAGACUUCAGCUCCAGACAAAUCAGAGGUAAUAACACAACAUGAGGCUGACAAACUGUCUAACUGCACACUGGUGCUUGAUAAGCUGUCAGAGCACAAAGCAAAGUGAAACCAUCUAUGACAAUGAGAGGCAGUGAUUCACCCGGCAUCAUCUAUGAGCCACUCUGCUUACCUCCAAAGACUAGCAACUAAAAUGAUCGGCCACAUGGAGCAUUUUAAAGAGUGUUCUCGGAGGAAGGGGAGGAUGGGGCUGCAGUCUACACCAUUUGUGCUGGCUUUGAGCCACACCAACUGUUCAUAAGACAGACACCCACAACCAUACAACAAGCCAAAGCCUGAAGAAUCUGCUCAAGAGACAAUUGUACAAUCGAAAUCGUACAGUCCACGUCAGGCAUAAGACAACAGUGGCAAAAUAAACCUGUAUAGGAUCAGUAAUCUCAUGCCAUAAUCCUCUAAAAUAUCAGACUUCUGCACAUUUCUGAGCCGCUUGCUCUCAUAUCGGGAGAAAUCAAUUGGACUUUGAACUGAGUGCAAACUAUACCUGUGUUAAUACUAUGGUUAAAGGUCAAAGGUCACUGGUCACAUUUUAAUAGGGAAAAAUUGUUAGGUGGUCUUUUAGAAGAACUAGAGGUUUAAACAUUUUUAAAGAAUUUUGUGUGUGUUUUCCUCAAAAAAAAAAAAAAUGCACCUCUGAAGAGGAUAAGUGACUUCCUUUAAAGUACCCCGAUUAUGGGUAAUGAAAGGUUCAAAUUUUGGUUUUGGGAGUUCCCAACAGGUUGACAUGCAUGCAUUUCAUUGUCUUAUAAUCAUUUUUAUUUAUUUUUUAUACUUACUUGGUCAUUGACUCCUAAACGAUUUGCUCAGCGAUUCUUUUUCCAAACCCCUUCUUUGUGUGAUGCUAAUCUGCGGUGAUUGGUCCGAUUGGUCUAAUUUUCAUUUCAUCAUCCCUGAUAAAGCAGCGUUUGUGAGCACAGUGCUGCUGUGUGAACAGCCAUUAUCGUGGAAACCGCUCUAGUGGCAAAGAAUGAAUUUGCAUUUUCAUUCAGACCAAUGUGAAAAUACCAUAAAAUACCAACAAGUUGACUGGCAAUAUGCAUGUUUCAUGUUGACAUCAUCAUGAAACGGCAUGGGAUUCUUUUUAAAAACGACUUGUUUCAAUCAUUCAGAGUCAAAUAUUUCUUUUGAGAGACAAUAACUUUGUUCACGGUGCACUUUCAGAUUUAAAACUUCGCAUUAUGUUUUCAUUCAGUUAGAGCUGUGUUGCACACAGACAUCCAUAAUAGGGGCAAAAAUACUAAAACAAAGCCUUCCUUUGGGUUUGUAAUGAAGAGAACAAUGUAAUCUAGAACAUCUAUAUAUUCCCUGUGGUCACUGCAUAGCAACUGGUUUGAAGAGAUAACUGUGAAUGAGAAUUUCUGGAAUACAAAGUGCUGAACAAUUACACUGUGAUGAAACAUAUUUGUGAUGUUCUAUUCAGCUGCAGCUCUGACCUUUCCUGGUCUGCUUACAUUUUUUCGCUCUGAUUAUGCUUUUGUGCUAUCUCGCUCAUUCUCUGAAAGUCAAUACAGCUUUAUUGGAAGAACUGUCUGAAAUAUUGCCAAAGCUUUGGAGUGCUCACAGGUGCAAUAAAUAAAACAAAAUCUUGUCAAAUCAAAAAUUAUAAAAAGAUUUCAUCAUACUCCAAUAGGAUAAAGUUGUUAAACAACAUUUUGGAAGUAUGUGUUGUGCAUUCUUUUUAGCAACUGCCCUACCAAAAAAAUAAUAAAAGAUAAUUUAUAUUAAUAAAAGAGAGCAGCAAUUUUAAAACUGACAUUGCCAUCAUUGCAUUAUUAUACAAUCACCUAGAAAUGUUUAGGACAAAAGUUCAAAACAAAGGCAGUUACUUUCAAUAUGAAGACAUAAAAAGAAUCGGCCAUUAGAAAAAUACAUUUUUCUAUUUUCUGUACAGUGCACUGUGUUGUUGCUCUGUGUGAAUCUGUCAGGAAACACACCGAAGGUGAACCAGAGGACAAUACUAUUGCUUUUUUUACAUCUCUUUUAGCAAUGUGCAUUUGUAAGACCAGCAAAUAAUAGCUACUGAAAUAAGCUUAUUCAUUCCCAGAGAAAAAUAUUAAACAGCCUCUUUCAUGAUUCACAAUGCAAUUCACAAAAUGAAUCACUUUCCAUCUCACUCUGAAUUAAAACAACAAAUAUUUCAAUGACAUACCGGAAUGAUUUGUGUCUGGCUUUGGCAGAUCGUGAGUUAUCAUAAACAAGAAGAAUAAAAAAGAUCUGCCAUUUGAAAUGAAUGCAGGUUCACAGUUUUUACUGAUAGAAAAGAAAUUGUCUUUUUUUUUUUUUAAACCUUAUGUAUUGUUUUGGUCUCCUAAGGCACACAGUUCUGUAUGUUAAAAUAAUAAUAUUAUUAAAACAACAACAAGCUGACUUUUCCCCUGACUUUGACUAAUCUCUGAGCAGCCUUAGGAUGAAUCUCAAAUAUAGCAUGCCCUUUAAAGAAAUGUGACGUUUAUACAAUAGAUUCUCAAUUUUAAUGUAGAAAAAUAGUUAUUAAUUAUUUUUUGACGUUUGAAGUAUGUUAUCUAGUUGACAUUUUGUUUAUAAUCAGUUUUAGAAAAAGUCACGACAAAUCAACCCCAUACUUAAAUGUUAAGUAUGCUUUUGAGCUAUCAAAAUGGCCUUGGGGUUAACAUUUCAAAUUUUGCUUUAAAAAAAAAACUAAUAAAAAAAAAACACUGUGAUUGUUCAUAAUUGAUACAAUACAUCCUCAUAUUUUAAAAAUACUUAUGCACUAAACAUAUAAAGUACAUUAGAGGUAUGGAAUAAAACCCCACCACAUAGUAACUUUGAAGACAAAUAAAGUAAUUUAAAAAAUAUUCAAAAAUAAUAAACGUGAAUGUUCAAAAAUGAAAGCUCUACGAAUUAAC